rnacentral:sRNA from 1 species
GUGUAGCCCUGAUUGAAAUGACAUCCUUUUUAUAGCCUUUUAAACAAGCGUCAUUGCGAGGCACGAAGUAAUCUCUUUCUUAUAUAGAGAUUGCCACAGUUUACAAAAAAGUAAACUUCGCAAUAAUAGCAUAAAAAGAUAUAAUGUAAAGCAGGAAAUAGC